rnacentral:rRNA from 1 species
AUUGAACGCUGGCGGCAGGCCUAACACAUGCAAGUCGAACGAGUGGCGGACGGGUGAGUAAUGGCUGGGAAAAUGCCCGAUGGAGGGGGAUAACUACUGGAAACGGUAGCUAAUACCGCAAACCAUCGGAUGAGCCCAGAUGGGAUUAGCUAGUAGGUGGGGUAACGGCUCACCUAGGCGACGAUCCCUAGCUGGUCUGAGAGGAUGACCAGCCACACUGGAACUGAGACACGGUCCAGACUCCUACGGGAGGCAGCAGUGGUGAAUAUUGCACAAUGGGCGCAAGCCUGAUGCAGCCAUGCCGCGUGUAUGAAGAAGGCCUUCGGGUUGUAAAGUACUUUCAGCGAGGAGGCGUUACUCGCAGAAGAAGCACCGGCUAACUCCGUGCCAGCAGCCGCGGUAAUUC